CGCGCGGCCGGCCGGCCGCCUCCACGUGGGGGGGCGCAGCGCUCGCCCCGCCCGCCGUUGCCCGGGUGAAGGCCGCCGUGCUCGGCACCUACCCGGAGCCUACGCAGCUAUUGUGGGCGGAUAGGAAACACCUCCCGGGGCAGGGCUUCCCGGAGCGUGCCAAUGCCCAUUGCUGUAAAUGCCGCACGCACAAACAUCUCCGUGGUCAAGGAAUGCAACAUUUUCUGCUACACUAUUCCUCCCACCUCAGCAGAAUGGCAUUGGAAGCUCAUAGCUGCAGCUUAUACCUGUUGUGCUGAAGGUUCCCAUUAGAUGGCACUGCAAUUGCUCCUGUUGAUUUGAAGGCAGUUUGAGAGGCUCGCAUCA